ensembl:lncRNA
GUGCUGACUCUCUCAUACAUAAAUUUCCAUAGCUGCUCCCGAAUUUGUCUCUUUCCUCAGCCGCCUCGCCACGCGUUAAUCAUUCAGCAUUUAAAUCAGCCUUCCACUUGCUUCGUUUUGCUUUGUCAAUGAAAAUUGUUCAGCAUUAAUUAUAAAACUCAAUCUCUACUGAGGUUUUCUUGGCUUUUUUUUUUUCAUUAGUGGGUGGAAGUGUGGAUUUGCAGUCUUCUGGUUCUGCCUUCAGAAAUACCCCGUGUGCCAUCCAUGCUGCAGAACACGUUCUGCCUGAGGGUGCCCGCGAAGCUCAGCUUUCAGCCACUUUCCGAACCUAAAGAUUUGCAUCCCAGCAUCGCAGAUGAUUUCAGGUUACAAAGUGAAGAGUUGACAACAACUGUUGAUGCGUUCUGAGUUAUGUCUCUGUGACAGCACUCCAACACGGCUCUAGUUUUUCACAGUGGUUGAACCUCUCCAGAUUUGCUUUCGUUUUUUACAAUCAAAAGGAUUGGACAUCCCUGGUCCAGCGCGCUGAGCAAUCCUGCAGCACAACACUCUGCGAGUACUGCAGUGCACACGGUAUGGUAAUAAACCAGGCUGCUGCAGCCAACAGCAAAUCACAAGGCGAUAAAACACAAAGGCUGAAGGAUUGGGUUGAGCUGGGAUAUGUUUUAGUGCAUGUGCUGAAUGCGGUAAGGGAGAGGCUGACUGAAAAUACAGACUCAUUAACAGGAAAGUGACUAAGCUCAUCUUUACAGGUGUGAUUUUCACAAUUGUGAAUGUUUUACUCAAUUAUUACAAGGCAUCAACUAUAGCAGCGUGUAAAUGCUUCCCGAUCUUUUCAUUAUGCUGGGAUGCCGCAACCUAUAUUUAACCCAAGGGGAGGAAUGUGCUCCAGAAACAAUUCUCACUUAGGCAAUCAUUUCUCUUAUCAGUCACAGAGAUCUGUCAGACCACUCUCACUGCCAACCAGGGAUUACAAAGAGAGGAAAAAGGGCAACCGGGAGAAAACUGUAUCUCUGCAAAAAUACAGUAUGGAUCUGUGUCAAGAAAUGAAGGUAACCUCCAAAGUGACAGUAAGAAGAUGAACAGUGCAAACGCUUUUCACCUUCUGGGAUUCUGGCAGGAGUGUCAGGCCCUGAGUGCAGCCACGGUGCCCUCCCCUUCUGGACCUGUGGCUGUGAGGACAGCAAUAGUGCCCGUCACCCCACACAUGACACACAGAUGCCCCCCGUCCCCCAUACGCUGACAGUGCCUGGGCUGAUGGGCGCUCUGUGCGGCCGAGAUGGGUUUGUGGCUCGCACUGCUCACAGAGCUGCUGCCCUCUGCACUGGGCAGUAAUCGCCCCAAUUGCAGAGAACACCCGAAAUAAAGGGCUUUGAGAAGAGAUCAGGGAUGGAAUCAACCCGGCAUGCUAAGCCAGGGAGGAAUGGGACGCUGUAGAGCGGGAAGUGAAUACUACCCAGGCUACACACAUUCUGUGAACAACUAGAAACCUUCAAUCUCCACAGCUAUCAGGCAGCAUUUUUCACUCCUACUGGAAAAUUGGAAAAUAAGAAGUGUCUUUACUCUGUGAUGGAAUAAAAAUAAGUAGAAAUAACAGUACUUAGUCAAAUAACACAGCAUCUCUCCAAUAUAACAGAAGUUGUGCUUUAGCUAAACACUCAGAUAGCAAGUUGGGAGUGAGCCCAGGGUUUGGGUUUAUUUAUUUUGCACAGAGCUCUGCGUGUAAUGCUCUGGUGAGGUUAGCAUGCAAACAAAGAGGAAGGCUUGGUGUUAGUCAACUUGUGUUCUCUCCCAGUAAUAGAAGAGUAG